rnacentral:rRNA from 1 species
AUGUUCUUGGCGUCGCCUCCAGGAAGGUUACGGUGCACAGGACGCCGCCGACGCCCGAUCCGCAUCGGAUCUUGGGCUUUCACCCGGACAUGGGUUGGAGAGGAGAGAUGGUGCCCUCAGCAACGCCCCCAAGGAGGAAAGCGGCGCCAAAAAUCGGCGUCGCCGCUGCCGGUCAGCCUAAGGCAGCCAAGGUUUUCCCCGGACACCGAUCUGCUCCACCAGAACACACCGGAGGUGGAUCCGGCAAGAUCCAAACCGAACCGGGGACUGGGAAGGGAUGCAUGGAAGGGAGAGGGGCCGCCGCCAAGGACCGGCGCCAGCACGGAUCGGGACAGAUGUACCUGUACUCAGUAUGCAUGCGCCACGGUAGCCUUGCUGUGCGCCAAGCUCGAAUUCACACGAUAUGAGCAUGCCCCUGAAUACACCGCACCUCUAGACAUGAACAAAUUCGUACGGUACUUCCGUAGGUGUUAUUACCAUGAAGACGCCACCGGGUCUGCCAUACCUUUGACAUUAAAUUACAUUUGCGAAUUUGGUAUACCAAUAAGAAAUGUUGCUGGCUCUCACUUGCCUCCUGUUGGUCCGGAGUUUAACCUGCGGAUUGGAGGUUAUUUUCAUGUUGAUCCUACUGAUACCGAUUUUAUCACCCGCCUCAUAGCCUCGGGAUUCCCGUUGGUAGGCUUGAUAGAGGCAGGUCGCCGUUUCAACCACAUUAGAGGUCGGGAAGUUUAUGUUACACCACAGGAAGGUACAGAACCAGGAAUGUGUCACACCGUGGCCAUUAUUGGAUCAGGGUUAGAGUUAAGGAAUGUUAGUAGGCCUGACAACCGCCUCACCCAACCUGUGUACGAGACCUACUUUGUGAUCCGGGACUCUUAUGGCCCCUAUGCCCACGGAUCUAGUGCAAGGUCGUUUGCUCAUGAUGGAGUAUCAGUCGGAUACGACUUCAAUGUUUGGGCCAGCGACCUGCGAGAAGCCUGGGGUGUUUGGAACCCGCAAGGAUGUAAGUUCAUAUGUUUCUAA